rnacentral:lncRNA from 1 species
AACAAGCCUCAGAUGAUUUUUUUCUCAGCCUUCAGAGUCGUCCAGCUGUGAUCCAGACAUGGUACAGCAAAGUCAAGCUACCCUCUGCUGUGCCCUGUCUUGAUUUAUUUAUUUAAAAUUUUUUUUUUAGUUUUAAUUUUUUUUACUCUGUAAGCUUUGUUGGUCUUAACCUCAGGUUCAGCAUUAAAUGUGAUUAAAUUUUAUUUAAUGUGAUGGAACCUUCAAGACGUGGAGCCUCAGGGUACGGGUUAGGUAAUUAUUGCCCUACUUUUACAUUUCCCUUAAUUUUUAAAGGGAUUGUACUGAGCUCAGUACGAAACAUAGUUUGUUUGUCAAAAGCAAAGAUAGUUGUCUUUUAUGUAUUUGGUAGUUUGGUAGUUUUUGGGUUAAUAGGAGUUUAUCAGGUAAGUUUAGGGUUCCGGCCGGGAGGUGAUCCACCCGCCUCGGCCUCCCAAAGUGUUGGGAUUACAGGGGUGAGUCACCGCGCCCGGCCAACACAUUAACUUUAAAAAGUUGACUUUCCAUGUUCCAUUAAGUAAAGGA